GACGCAGUGGCGCAACGGUUUAGUGUGACGGCAUCCAAGUGGAUAGAGGAAGGUGCCCGGGUUCAAUUCCCGGGCAGUGUCA